rnacentral:misc_RNA from 1 species
UGCUCCUCCUUGCCGCCCCCUACUUAAGAAUCCAAAAGUCACCUUUGGAUGUUGUCGUGACGCUUUGGUUACGAAGGUUACGGGGGUCUGGGUUUAUGGAUGAAUUCAGUCAGCGAAAGUCCCUCAAACUCAAUCAAUAUCAACAACAUGUCGUGACCGGUUAGGCUUGGUUGAUUUUGUCAGAAAAGAAAGUAGGUUUCGGGAGUUCAUUGAUUAGUACACCUCUGGUGCUGGUAAGGUCGGGACCGUGGUCGUCCGUCUCCAGUUUGCCGGCCGAUAAGAUCUCUGAGAUUGACCAGACAGCUGGGUUGGUUUGGCUAUUCCUUUCUAUUGAAAAGGAGUCAGCUGUCUGCGCGAGUCACCUUCUUCUAGGCUCCGCUGGACGACACGGCAUUUUCGUUCAAAUAUAGGCCGGCCGUACUUGUGAUGGUUCCCAAGGAUCCAAUAUGAUAUGAUACCACUUNUACGUUGCCACGAUAUUGUUCUAUGGAAGCGGGCGGGUAGAAGUUCGGCCCGGUUUUUUUUGGUGUCGUAGGGGAGGGAUUGACCUUUCUAACGCAUAUUCAGUCGUACCGGCAUGGCCCCACUGAUUUGUUUUCGAUCGGAGCAUCAAGCAACGCAACCCGGUUCUACUUGACUAAGCCUCGUGCUCGUCCAAGGAGGGAGUUUGCUUUACCCAACUCCCUUUUUGAUAACAAGGCAGAAACCCCCGACCGGACAUUCAUUAGUUUCGAAUGAAGAAUGAAGAGUGCCCUGCCCCAGAAAGCACCUACUCCUAUCAAAAUGAAAAGCGUGACUUUACUAAACAAGCAAGAAAAGCCCUUUACUAAUAGAAUAGAAGGUAAGGCCGGCUUUCGAGCUGUAGCUUUACAACGACCCUAUUAUUAGUAAGAUAGGUUGUUUGAGCGCAUUUUUCCCCUUUCUAUUAGUAAGGUUGUCAAAAGGCUUUCCUUGAGUUUGAUUGCAGGGGCUUUAUCUAUAGUAAGGGGCCUUUUCAAUAUUCAAUAAGGCUCGUGCUAGGCGCUCACGUUUUUUGGCUUCCCUAAAAUCGAAUAUUUUCAAAAUUGGUAAAGACCCACCCCUUGUUUCAGUCAGAAUGAGUCCCCGGGACCCCGGGACAUUGGCUUCCGCCAACAGUGGACUAUUAAGGAUCGCAUCCCGCGCAUAUUCUACAUUAUAGCCUGCAACUAAUUCCAAAAAAAAAAGAGCAAACCCCAUUGAAGAAUAUUCUACAUUAUAGCCUGCAACUAAUUCAGCUUCCGCUUCUGGGAGAUCAAACGGAGCUCGAUUAGUUUCUGCUAGACAAGAAAUAAAGAACAUAACCAAUACAGGGAACAAGGGAAUACCAAACCAUAUCUGCUUUUGCGCCAUGACAAUCUCACUCAAAUUACAAGAACCUACACAUAUUAGUACAGUAAUAAGAAUAAGACCAAUAGAGACUUCAUAAGAGACCAUUUGAGCUGCAGAUCGUAAUGCUCCUAGAAAGGCAUAUUUCGAAUUACUAGACCAACCUGCUAUAAUAAUUCCAUAAACACCUAGCGAAGAUAUGGCAAACAAAUAAAGUAGCCCUAUGUUCAAAUCUGACAAUACCAUACCAUAAUCAAAAGGUACAACGGCCCAAGCGACCAGACUUAACAUAAAUGUAGCCACUGGAGCCAUUCUAAAAAGGAAGAAAUUAGCACUACUUGGUGAAAUAGGUUCUUUUAGAAUCAAUUUCAAACCAUCUGCUAGAGGUUGUAACAAUCCGAACAAUCCCACUACAUCAGGACCCUUUCGACGUUGCACAAAAGCCAUUACUUUACGUUCAGCUAGCACUAAAAAGGCUACUCCUAGUAGAAGUGGUA